rnacentral:tRNA from 1 species
GGCGAGGUAGCUCAGAUGGUUAGAGCGCAGGAUUCAUAACCCUGAGGUCGGCAGUUCGAUUCUGCUCUUCGCUACGA